AUUGAACGCUGGCGGCAUGCUUUACACAUGCAAGUCGAACGAGUGGCGAACGGGGGAGUAAUAUAUCAGAACGUACCGAGUAAUGGGGGAUAACCAAUCGAAAGAUUGGCUAAUACCGCAUAUUAUUCGAGCGGCCGAUAACGGAUGAGCUAGUGGGGGGGGUAAAGGCCUACAAAGGGGACGAGCAGUAGCGGGUCUGAGAGGACGAGCCGCCAACCUGGGACUGAGCCACGGCCCAGACGCCCAGUGGCGGCAGGAGUGGGGAAGUUUGGACACUGGGGGAAACCCUGAUCCACCCAUGCCGCGUGUAUGAAGAAGGCAUUCGGGUUGUAAAGUCCUUUUGUUAGGGAAGCGGUACCUGCAGAAUAGGCACCGGCUAAUUACGUGCCAGCAGCCGCGGUAAUU
rnacentral:rRNA from 1 species